rnacentral:rRNA from 1 species
AGGACGAACGCUGGCGGCGUGCUUAACACAUGCAAGUCGAACGGGGUGUGCCGGGUAGUAAUACCUUGUACAUCUAGUGGCGAACGGGUGCGUAACACGUGAGCAACCUACCCCGAAGACCGGGACAACACCGGGAAACCGGUGCUAAUACCGGAUACCCCCACCGGACCGCAUGGUCUGGCGGGGAAAUAGAUUCUGCUUCGGGAGGGGCUCGCGGCCUAUCAGCUAGUUGGUGAGGUAACGGCCCACCAAGGCUUCGACGGGUAGCUGGUCUGAGAGGACGAUCAGCCACACUGGGACUGAGACACGGCCCAGACUCCUACGGGAGGCAGC